CACGUAGGCGGAUAUUUAAGUCAGGGGUGAAAUCCCAGAGCUCAACUCUGGAACUGCCUUUGAUACUGGGUAUCUUGAGUGUGGAAGAGGUAAGUGGAAUUCCGAGUGUAGAGGUGAAAUUCGUAGAUAUUCGGAGGAACACCAGUGGCGAAGGCGGCUUACUGGUCCAUUACUGACGCUGAGGUGCGAAAGCGUGGGGAGCAAACA
rnacentral:rRNA from 1 species